rnacentral:rRNA from 1 species
GUAGGUGGCAAGCGUUGUCCGGAGUUAUUGGGCGUAAAGCGCGCGCAGGUGGUUCUUUAAGUCUGAUGUGAAAGCCCCCGGGCUCAACCGGGGAGGGUCAUUGGAAACUGGGGAACUUGAGUGCAGGAGAGGAAAGUGGGAUUCCACGUGUAGCGGUGAAAUGCGUAGAUAUGUGGUGGAACACCAGUGGCGAAGGCGACUUUCUGGCCUGUAACUGACACUGAGGCGCGAAAGCGUGGGGAGCAAACAGGAUUAGAUACCCUGGUAGUCCACGCCGUAAACGAUGAGUGCUAAGUGUUGGGGGGUUUCCGCCCCUCAGUGCUGCAGCUAACGCAUUAAGCACUCCGCCUGGGGAGUACGGUCGCAAAGACUG